rnacentral:rRNA from 1 species
AGCGAACGCUGGCGGCAGGCUUAACACAUGCAAGUCGAGCGGGCGUAGCAAUACGUCAGCGGCAGACGGGUGAGUAACGCGUGGGAACAUACCUUUUGGUUCGGAACAACUGAGGGAAACUUCAGCUAAUACCGGAUAAGCCCUUACGGGGAAAGAUUUAUCGCCGAAAGAUUGGCCCGCGUCUGAUUAGCUUGUUGGUGAGGUAACGGCUCACCAAGGCGACGAUCAGUAGCUGGCUGAGAGGAUGAUCAGCCACAUUGGGACUGAGACACGGCCCAAACUCCUACGGGAGGCAGCAGUGGGGAAUAUUGGACAAUGGGCGCAAGCCUGAUCCAGCCAUGCCGCGUGAGUGAUGAAGGCCCUAGGGUUGUAAAGCUCUUUGUGCGGGAAGAUAAUGACGGUACCGCAAGAAUAAGCCCCGGCUAACUUCGUGCCAGCCGCCGCAGUAAU